AGUGAACGCUGGCGGUAGGCCUAACACAUGCAAGUCGAACGGCAGCACAGUAAGAGCUUGCUCUUACGGGUGGCGAGUGUCGGACUGGCGGGGCAUACAUCUGACUCUACUUUUUCGUUGGGGCUAACGUAGGGCAACUUACGCUAAUACCGCAUACGACCUACGGGUGAAAGCAUGGGAUCUUCGGACCUUGCGCGAUUGAAUGAGCCGAUGUCGGAUUAGCUAGUUGGCGGGGUAAAGGCCCACCAAGGCGACGAUCCGUAGCUGGUCUGAGAGGAUGAUCAGCCACACUGGAAGUGAGACACGGUCCAGACUCCUAAGGGAGGCAGCAGUGGGGAAAAUGGGACAAUGGGCGAAAGACGGAGCAAGCAAUACCGCGUGGGUGAAGAAGGCCUGAGGGUUGUAAAGGCUUGUUGUUGGGAAAGAAAAGCAGAAGGUUAAUACCCCGCUGUACUGACGGUACCAAAAGAAUAAGCACCGGCUAACUUCGUG
rnacentral:rRNA from 1 species